UGAACUGAAGCAAACAAGAGGGCUGAAAGGACAUCUACAAUACUGUAGUACUAGAAUCAGUUGGACAAAACAAGGUUUAUGUUAGUUAUGUUCAUGUCAUAACAGUGAAGUUUGUUACAUACUUGGUUUUGGAUGGCUUCUACAAAGUGUUUCGGCCGCCAAAUGGGGGUGCUAUUGACGUCAUUUUGCUUCGGCUUGAUAUCUUCAGCUUAAUGAAACUUGGAGGUCUCUUUCCCUUAUUAAAAUUUGCUUCCUUUCUACUGUUUAUGUGGUUUUUCUUUGAAGUUUUUUUUUUGGACAGUAUGAUCUAUAUGUAGUCGAUUUUCUAAAAGGCUUAUAUGUUUUGUUUUGAGGUGUGCUUUUCGGCUAAAACGACAUCGUUUCGUUUUUUUCUGCACUACGUCUAAGUGUACAGUUUUCCCCACAUCUGCUUCUCUGGCGCCUUCUAGUUGCGGCUCUGCGUGUUAUUCAGCUUGAACCACAUGUUGAACUAGCUUGUGUCCAGAGAUUUGGUUGGGAACUACCUAUUUAGAGCACUUCUCUGCAACAAAUCUUCUGACCUUUUAAGAACCUUGUCUACUCUCUGGCUCAAAGAUGAUGAAAGAGGUUUGUUGCUGUCCCUUCUGAGCUGCCCCAUUUAGUCGUCGUCGUCUUUCUUUCUGUAUGCUUGUCCAGCUUGAAAUUGAUGUUGAAAUUGCGAUCACCUGGAAUAUUGGUUGCCUGAGACCCUCUCCUGCGAUCACCUGGAAUAUUGUUUGCCUGAGACCCUCUCCCUUGUGUUCUCCAUCAACAGUGCUUCUGAUUUAGUUCUACCUCUCUUGGCUGCAAUUAGAUCAGGGUUCUUGCUAUUAUGGAACUGUGAGAUCUUGGUAGUGGUAAUAACCUAAGAAAAUGAUGGUUAUAAAUGCAUGAAGCGUCUGACGAACAAGGUGGACGCAAAGGAUACUCCGCCCUUGAGAAGAGGCGUAUCCAUUAACUUGCCCUGUCAAGUUUUAUAGUUGCACGAGAAGACAAUAGAGAGAUCCCAUUCUUGCAUUGCUAUUUAUGGUUUAAAGUUGUUAGCGUCGGGGAGGUAAUGAGAGGGGACUAAAGACUAGAAAGAAUCCGGCUAAUCCUUCUCUCCCUCUUUUGUGCAAUUGUGAGGUUUGCUUGAGAUCAAUUGAAGCUUCAUAUUUGAACC